rnacentral:rRNA from 1 species
CUGAGUACGGCGGAACACGUGAAAUUCCGUCGGAAUCCGGGAGGACCAUCUCCCAAGGCUAAAUACUCCCUAGUGACCGAUAGUGAACCAGUACCGUGAGGGAAAGGUGAAAAGCACCCCGGAAGGGGAGUGAAACAGUUCCUGAAACCGUGUGCCUACAAGUAGUUAGAGCCCGUUAAUGGGUGAUAGCGUGCCUUUUGUAGAAUGAACCGGCGAGUUACGAUUUGUUGCAAGGUUAAGCGGAAAAAGCGGAGCCGUAGCGAAAGCGAGUCUGAAUAGGGCGCAUAAGUAACAGGUCGUAGACCCGAAACCAGGUGAUCUACCCAUGUCCAGGAUGAAGGUAAGGUAAUACUUACUGGAGGUCCGAACCCACGCACGUUGAAAAGUGCGGGGAUGAGGUGUGGGUAGCGGAGAAAUUCCAAUCGAACUUGGAGAUAGCUGGUUCUCUCCGAAAUAGCUUUAGGGCUAGCCUCGAGGUAAAGAGUCAUGGAGGUAGAGCACUGUUUGGACUAGGGGCCCUUCUCGGGUUACCGAAUUCAGAUAAACUCCGAAUGCCAUGUACUUAUACUCGGGAGUCAGACUGCGAGUGAUAAGAUCCGUAGUCGAAAGGGAAACAGCCCAGACCACCAGUUAAGGUCCCCAAAUAUAUGUUAAGUGGAAAAGGAUGUGGGGUUGCUUAGACAACCAGGAUGUUGGCUUAGAAGCAGCCACCAUUGAAAGAGUGCGUAAUAGCUCACUGGUCGAGUGACCCCGCGCCGAAAAUGUACCGGGGCUAAACAUAUUACCGAAACUGUGGAUGAACCUCUUUAGAGGUUCGUGGUAGGAGAGCGUUCUAAGGGCGGUGAAGUCAGACCGGAAGGACUGGUGGAGCGCUUAGAAGUGAGAAUGCCGGUAUGAGUAGCGAAAGAAGGGUGAGAAUCCCUUCCACCGAAUAUCUAAGGUUUCCUGAGGAAGGCUCGUCCGCUCAGGGUUAGUCGGGACCUAAGCCGAGGCCGAUAGGCGUAGGCGAUGGACAACAGGUAGAGAUUCCUGUACCAGUGCUAAUUGUUUAACCGAUGGGGUGACACAGAAGGAUAGGGAAUCGCACGAAUGGAAAUGUGCGUCCAAGCA